rnacentral:rRNA from 1 species
AUUGAACGCUGGCGGCAGGCCUAACACAUGCAAGUCGAACGAGUGGCGGACGGGUGAAUAAUUGCUGGGAAACUGCCUGAUGGACGGGGAUAACUGGUGGAAACGGUGGCUAAUACCGCAUACCGUCAUAUGUGCCGAGAUGGGAUGAGCUAGUUGGUGGGGUAACGGCUCACCAAGGCGACGAUGCCUAGCUGGUCUGAGAGGAUGACCAGCCACACUGGAACUGAGACACGGUCCAGACUCCUACGGGAGGCAGCAGUGGGGAAUAUUGGACAAUGGGCGAAAGCCUGAUGCAGCCAUGCCGCGUGUAUGAAGAAGGCCUUCGGGUUGUAAAGUACUUUCGGCAGGGAAGCGUUACCCGAAGAAGAAGCACCGGCUAACUCCGUGCCAGCAGCCGCGGUAAUUC